AGGAGGAGGAGGGGGAGGAGGAGAGGGGGGAGCGAGGAGGUGGAUGUGGAGGAGGCUCUGAGGAGGGCGCUGCAAGAAAGAGACGACGCCAUCAACAAGAGGAGUGCGGUCGAGAUGGAGUUGGCCGUCUGUAAGAUCGAUGUCAUGGCACUCAACUCUCAGCUGCUGGACGCCAUUCAGCAGAAGGUUGAUCUCAGUCAGGAGCUCGAAGCCUGGCAGACACACACACACUCACAUCUACACACACACGUAUACACACACGUACACACACACACACUCACGUGUACACACACACACAUGUUUACACACACACGUACAGGCACACUCACAAAAACCUCACACACAUGUGUACACACACACACACCAAUAUACACACACACUCACACACACACCUAUAUACAUACACACACACACCAAUAUACAUACACACACACCAAUAUACAUACACACACCAAUAUACACACACUUACACACACCAAUAUAUAAUGCGCACACUUACACACACACACACCAAUAUGCAUACACACGCACAUACACACACACUUACACACACACUUACACACGUGUACACACACUUACACUUACACACACGGGUACACACUUACACACACACGUGUACACACACACACACUUACACACACACACACGUGUAAACACACACACUUACACUUACACACGCGCUUACACACACGUGUACACACACUUACACACACGUGUACACACACACACGUGUACACACACACACGCACGUGUACACACACACUUACACACACACA